GACGAACCGUGCGAACGUUAUUCGGAAUCACUGGGCUUAAAGCGCGUGUAGGCGGGUCGGAACGUCGGUCGCUGAAAUCCCCCGGCUUAACCGGGGAACGGGCGCCGAAACGGCCGGCCUGGAGGGACGUAGGGGGAGCUGGAACUUCCGGUGGAGCGGUGAAAUGCGUUGAGAUCGGAAGGAACGCCCGUGGCGAAAGCGAGCUCCUGGACGUUUUUCUGACGCUGAGACGCGAAAGCCAGGGGAGCGAACGGG
rnacentral:rRNA from 1 species